rnacentral:misc_RNA from 1 species
GAUGAAGAACGUAGCGAAAUGCGAUAAGUAGUGUGAAUUGCAGAAUUCAGUGAAUCAUCGAAUCUUUGAACGCACAUUGCGCCCCUUGGUAUCCCGAGGGGCAUGCCUGUUCGAGCGUCAUUUCACCACUCAAGCCUGGCUUGGUGUUGGGCGACGUCCCAUUUGGGGACGCGUCUCGAAACGCUCGGCGGCGUGGCACCGGCUUUAAGCGUAGCAGAAUCUUUCGCUUUGGAAGUCGGGGCCCCGUCUGCCGGAAGACCUACUCGCAAGGUUGACCUCGGAUCAGGCAGGGAUACCCGCUGAACUUAAGCAUAUCAAUAAGCGGAGGA